CCUUCUCCUCAACCAACUUCUCAUGUCAUACAAUCUUGAACAAAUCAAGAUCGUCCAGAUCCAAGUAAGUAUAGUGGAAGUGUGCAUGCCCUUUCACCUUCUCAAAUGCCUGGUUAGAGGCAAGAACGAUCCCCGCGCGAGAGUCAUCUAAGUCAGCUUUUAAUUAGGCCUUGAUAACGAAAUCAACAUCGGUCAUCUUUUUCAGGGCAAAAAUCUC
rnacentral:lncRNA from 1 species